rnacentral:rRNA from 1 species
AUUGAACGCUGGCGGCAGGCCUAACACAUGCAAGUCGAGCGGAUGAAGGGAGCUUGCUCCUGGAUUCAGCGGCGGACGGGUGAGUAAUGCCUAGGAAUCUGCCUGGUAGUGGGGGAUAACGUCCGGAAACGGGCGCUAAUACCGCAUACGUCCUGAGGGAGAAAGUGGGGGAUCUUCGGACCUCACGCUAUCAGAUGAGCCUAGGUCGGAUUAGCUAGUUGGUGGGGUAAAGGCCUACCAAGGCGACGAUCCGUAACUGGUCUGAGAGGAUGAUCAGUCACACUGGAACUGAGACACGGUCCAGACUCCUACGGGAGGCAGCAGUGGGGAAUAUUGGACAAUGGGCGAAAGCCUGAUCCAGCCAUGCCGCGUGUGUGAAGAAGGUCUUCGGAUUGUAAAGCACUUUAAGUUGGGAGGAAGGGCAGUAAGUUAAUACCUUGCUGUUUUGACGGUACCAACUGAAUAAGCAACGGCUAACUUCGUG